AAUUACAGAUGAUGAUGAUAUUCGAAAUGAUAUUUGAAUUUGAUAAGAUAAAAUUCAUUUCGUUUUUUUCCCGCCUUUGUAGAACACCAUAACCUUAAAUUUUACAAAACACGUGAAGGCAGUAACUCGUAAGACAGGCACAGUAGCGCUACUUCACGUUCGUGUUAAAACAGUUGAAGCUUCUUCUUCCACUACACGACUACACUGACGUGGAUAUCUGUGCCUUGUAUAGUCAAUCACUCAAAUAGAUUUCUUCAAAAAACAAGAAGUCAACAAGCUUCGUAGCUCUUUGGUGCAUACAUAUAUAUAUUACGUUCCUGAAGCCAGAGCUGAGGCUGAAGUAGGAAACUCUCCGUUCCUAGGAGAGUCCUAGGUAAUCACCGAACUUCGUCGCUCCCCCAGGAACGGGCUACCCCAUCGACGUUCGUCCCUCACCCCUCUUUGCAACAGGAGCCGAUAUAACUUUGUUCCUGGGGGUGCAGUACUGCUUCACGAGGCUGGCUUUCGGUCCUAUGGUCAUCUCGCUCGCUCACUCACUCUAAGGAUGAUGACGACGAUGGCGAAUCUUCUCAACGAGUCUCUAUGCACGUUCUUACAAUACAAGAAUGAUGAUAACAUUGGUCGAGAAUUUCUCUCCUAUCAUAGAAAUUCAAAGCAAAGCGGGUCGAUGAACAAUAAGGUCGACGAAUAGAUCCACCUAUCUUAACAAUGGUGGCUUAUUAUCUUGAACAAAAGCGCCUUUCUGCUUUCCCUCAAGGGGGUGGUCCAAGAAACCCCAGGAAAGACGCGAACACUGUAAGCCUACUAAUGGAUUCCUUCAGCAGCAGCUGUCGUCUUAAGAUUGACCGACUUCAAACGGAUUAAUCUCGACAUCCGUGACACUCGACUUUCUAUAAAUUAGGGAUCCGAAUUCAACAAAACUUUCACACCAAUGAGCGUUGAUCUGACGAUAUCUUCCUUCUAGUUGUUUGUUGUUCGUAAGGGAGACACUUUACCGAAUUGUUGUUUACUUUUGAUCUUUAUGACAUCGAUAAUAAAAUUUUGCUUUAAAUUUAUUAGUGAAACGAAAAAUGAAGAAAAGAGUGAACGAUUGAUUGAAAACCAAUGGAGUCAACGAAAAUGUCCAGCCAUCUUCUACGAGAUGGCGUAGGUUACCAUUUUGCAUGCAUCUUCGAUAAAUUAUUGAUUCUGACCAUUGUCCAGUUUACUAGAGCCACCUACGUAAUUUCAGAGUAAGUUUGAACGGAAGGAUU